rnacentral:rRNA from 1 species
UGGGGAAUUUUGGACAAUGGGGGAAACCCUGAUCCAGCCAUCCCGCGUGUGCGAUGAAGGCCUUCGGGUUGUAAAGCACUUUUGGCAGGAAAGAAACGUCGCGGGUUAAUACCCCGCGAAACUGACGGUACCUGCAGAAUAAGCACCGGCUAACUACGUGCCAGCAGCCGCGGUAAUACGUAGGGUGCAAGCGUUAAUCGGAAUUACUGGGCGUAAAGCGUGCGCAGGCGGUUCGGAAAGAAAGAUGUGAAAUCCCAGAGCUUAACUUUGGAACUGCAUUUUUAACUACCGGGCUAGAGUGUGUCAGAGGGAGGUGGAAUUCCGCGUGUAGCAGUGAAAUGCGUAGAUAUGCGGAGGAACACCGAUGGCGAAGGCAGCCUCCUGGGAUAACACUGACGCUCAUGCACGAAAGCGUGGGGAGCAAACAGGAUUAGAUACCCUGGUAGUCCACGCCCUAAACGAUGUCAACUAGCUGUUGGGGCCUUCGGGCCUUGGUAGCGCAGCUAACGCGUGAAGUUGACCGCCUGGGGAGUACGGUCGCAAGAUUAAAACUUAAAUGAAUUGACGGGGUCAUAGCUGUUUCC